rnacentral:tRNA from 1 species
GGGCGUUUAGCUCAGUGGUAGAGCGCAUCGUUCGCAACGAUGAGGCCGCGGGUUCAAUCCCCGCAACGUCCA